UUGAAAGGGAAACGAUUGAAGUCAGUCGUACCAGCGGGAGUCAACCUUUCGAGUGGGGUUUUGGAGUUUUUUGAAGAGUGUCAAAACCUUUGAGAUUUCAAAAUAUUCGCUCUUUUGGUGUACUUUCUCGUGGGUAGGUUAACAUCGAUUUUUNAUCAUCAUAAAAAGAUUGGAGGAAUGUAGCUUCGAUCUUGUAUUGAAGUGUUAUAGCCUUNGGUAAAUGUGAUGAUUAGGAUCGAGGAUUGCAACGAAUACCCUUUUGGGCUNUCCGCCUGAUCUCUGAUACGUGGCCUUGGUAUCGAAAGCGUGCUUAUGGUAUUGAGGUAUUACGGUCAAAAGGUUAGAACGGUUUACAUUUCGUUAAGGAUGUUGACGUA
rnacentral:rRNA from 1 species